rnacentral:rRNA from 1 species
UAACGCGAAGAACCUUACCAGGCCUUGACAUCCUAUGAACUUUCUAGAGAUAGAUUGGUGCCUUCGGGAACAUUGAGACAGGUGCUGCAUGGCUGUCGUCAGCUCGUGUCGUGAGAUGUUGGGUUAAGUCCCGCAACGAGCGCAACCCUUGUUCACUGUUGCCAGCACGUUAUGGUGGGGGCUCAGUGGAGACCGCCGGGGUCAACUCGGAGGAAGGUGGGGAUGACGUCAAGUCAUCAUGCCCCUUAUGUCCAGGGCUUCACGCAUGCUACAAUGGCUGGUACAGAGAGUGGCGAGCCUGUGAGGGUGAGCGAAUCUCGGAAAGCCGGUCUCAGUUCGGAUUGGGGUCUGCAACUCGACCUCAUGAAGUCGGAGUCGCUAGUAAUCGCAGAUCAGCAACGCUGCGGUGAAUACGUUCCCGGGCCUUGUACACACCG